AAGGGAGACCUAAUUCGGGUAGGAGACGAAAAAAAAGUAGUCGCUACCAAGAAUCAAUCCCAAAAGGUCGGAGCGAGGCGAAAUUGGCUUUCAAACUAGGUUCUGGGUUCACACAAGACCUGAAUCAGGAACAAGGGCUAUCAGCUCAGGUGGUUAGAGCGCACCCCUGAUAAGGGUGAGGUCCCUGGUUCGAGUCCAGGAUGGCCCACCUGUACAGGUGGCCAAAACCAAGAAAAGAAGCGAGGAAUCAGCACCUGCUCUUACCUACAUAGUAAGAGAGAAUGCUGGCUCUGAGUACAGAGUCCAGAGGAACCUUGAAAACUGCAUAGAGCUAGGUGAAAAAGCCAAAAAAGAAGACCGCAA
rnacentral:tRNA from 1 species